rnacentral:rRNA from 1 species
GUACACACCGCCCGUCGCUACUACCGAUUGAAUGGCUCAGUGAGGCUUCCGGACUGGCCCAGGGAGGUCGGCAACGACCACCCAGGGCCGGAAAGUUAUCCAAACUCGGUCAUUUAGAGGAAGUAAAAGUCGUAACAAGGUCUCCGUUGGUGAACCAGCGGAGGGAUCAUUA